UGUUGCCAGAUUCUUCCUCUUCUGCAGUCCCUCACUUUUAGUGCUUCUUUCGUCAUGUUCAUCUUUUAUGGGUGUCUGUACUCCAGGCUUUGACAGGAGGUUGCUGAGGGUUUGAAAAAACAUUUGGCAGGGCCCUGUGUCACUCAGCACUGGCCAUGAGGAACAAUACCAGACAUUUGCUGCUGGGAGCAAGAGGAAAUCUGUUCAGCUGAGGCCUCUGAAGCCUGUUAGCUCGGUGUGCUUAAGUGAUUUUCUGGCAACAGAUCUGGAGAGUGAGACAGGAGCCAAAACAGAAACACAGCAGGAAGUAAAGGAGCAAACAGAAAGGAGGUUUGUGGACAGGUACUUGAAAUGUGCUGUUCUUUAAAUGCCAGGAAAGUAGAUCAGAUUUAGGGCCAGAAAAAGGAGAGAGAGUGGUGAGAAAUGUUGAAAAAAGGGAAGUUUGCUAUUGCUGGUCCU